CAGUAGCCGCGGGAAAACGGAGGGGGCUAGCGUUGUUCGGAAUUACUGGGCGUAAAGCGCACGUAGGCGGCUUGGUAAGUUAGAGGUGAAAGCCCAGGGCUCAGCCCUGGAAUUGCCUUUAAGACUGCCGAGCUAGUAGGUGAGAGAGGUGAGUGGAAUUCCGAGUGUAGAGGUGAAAUUCGUAGAUAUUCGGAAGAACACCAGUGGCGAAGGCGGCUCACUGGCUCAUUCUAGACGCUGAGGUGCGAAAGCGUGGGGAGCAAACAGGAUUAGAUACCCGCGUAGUCCCUGUCUCUUAUAC
rnacentral:rRNA from 1 species